UUGGAGGGCAAGUCUGGUGCCAGCAGCCGCGGUAAUUCCAGCUCCAAUAGCGUAUAUUAAAGUUGUUGCAGUUAAAAAGCUCGUAGUUGAAUUUCGGGAUCAAUAUUUCGGUCAUGCCGUUGGUAUGCACUGUUAUCAUUGAUUUCUCACCUUCUAAAGAACCGUAAUGCCAUUAAUUUGGUGUUACGGGGAAUUAGGACUGUUACCUUGAAAAAAUUAGAGUGUUUAAAGCAGGCUCACGCUUGAAUACAUUAGCAUGGAAUAAUGAAAUAGGACAUCCGAUUCUAUUUUGUUGGUUUCUAGGAUCGAUGUAAUGAUUAAUAGGGAUAGUUGGGGGCAUUAGUAUUCAAUUGUCAGAGGUGAAAUUCUUGGAUUUAUUGAAGACUAACUACUGCGAAAGCAUUUGCCAAGGAUGUUUUCAUUAAUCAAGAACGAAAGUUAGGGGAUCGAAGACGAUCAGAUACCGUCGUAGUCUUAACCAUAAACUAUGCCGACUAGGGAUCGGAUGAUGUUAAUUUUUUAAUGACUCAUUCGGCGCCUUACGGGAAACA
rnacentral:rRNA from 1 species